rnacentral:tRNA from 1 species
GUCUCGCUAGCUCAGUUGGUAGAGCACGACACUCUUAAUGUUGGGGUCCAGGGUUCGAGGCCCUGGCGGGACA